CCGCCCUUAGCUCAGUCGGAUAGAGCAACGGCCUUCUAAGCCGUAGGUCACACGUUCGAAUCGUGUAGGGCGGGCCA
rnacentral:tRNA from 169 species